UAGCUAGUUGGUGAGGUAAAGGCUUACCAAGGCGACGAUCUGUAGCGGGUCUGAGAGGAUGAUCCGCCACACUGGAACUGAGACACGGUCCAGACUCCUACGGGAGGCAGCAGUGGGGAAUUUUGGACAAUGGGGGCAACCCUGAUCCAGCCAUGCCGCGUGAGUGAAGAAGGCCUUCGGGUUGUAAAGCUCUUUCGGCCGGGAAGAAAUCGCAUGGGCCAAUACCCUGUGUGGAUGACGGUACCGGAAUAAGAAGCACCGGCUAACUACGUGCCAGCAGCCGCGGUAAUACGUAGGGUGCGAGCGUUAAUCGGAGUUACUGGGCGUAAAGCGUGCGCAGGCGGUUUUGUAAGACAGGCGUGAAAUCCCCGGGCUUAACCUGGGAACUGCGUUUGUGACUGCAAGGCUAGAGUACGGCAGAGGGGGGUGGAAUUCCACGUGUAGCAGUGAAAUGCGUAGAGAUGUGGAGGAACACCAAUGGCGAAGGCAGCCCCCUGGGUCGAUACUGACGCUCAUGCACGAAAGCGUGGGUAGCAAACAGGAUUAGAUACCCUGGUAGUCCACGCCCUAAACUAUGUCAACUAGGUGUUGGGUGGGUAAAACCAUUUAGUACCGUAGCUAACGCGUGAAGUUGACCGCCUGGGGAGUACGGCCGCAAGGUUAAAACUCAAAGGAAUUGACGGGGACCCGCACAAGCGGUGGAUGAUGUGGAUUAAUUCGAUGCAACGCGAAAAACCUUACCUACCCUUGACAUGCCAGGAACUUGCCAGAGAUGGCUUGGUGCCCGAAAGGGAGCCUGGACACAGGUGCUGCAUGGCUGUCGUCAGCUCGUGUCGUGAGAUGUUGGGUUAAGUCCCGCAACGAGCGCAACCCUUGUCGUUAAUUGCCAUCAUUUAGUUGGGCACUUUAACGAGACUGCCGGUGACAAACCGGAGGAAGGUGGGGAUGACGUCAAGUCCUCAUGGCCCUUAUGGGUAGGGCUUCACACGUCAUACAAUGGUCGGUACAAAGGGUUGCCAAGCCGCGAGGCGGAGCCAAUCCCAGAAAGCCGAUCGUAGUCCGGAUUGCAGGCUGCAACUCGCCUGCAUGAAGUCGGAAUCGCUAGUAAUCGUGGAUCAGCAUGUCACGGUGAAUACGUUCCCGGGUCUUGUACACACCGCCCGUCACACCAUGGGAGCGGGUUCCGCCAGAAGUAGGUAGCCUAACCGCAAGGGGGGCGCUUACCACGGCGGGGUUCGUGACUGGGGUGAAGUCGAAACAAGGUAGCCGCAGGGGAACCUGCGGCUG
rnacentral:rRNA from 1 species